ACUGCGCUGGUGCAGUGGUUAGCACAUCUACCUAGCAAGUAAGAGGACCAGGGUUCGAGUCCCGGCCGCAGUA